UUUGACCUCAAAUCAGGUAGGACUACCCGCUGAACUUAAGCAUAUCAAUAAGCGGAGGAAAAGAAACUAACAAGGAUUCCCCUAGUAACUGCGAGUGAAGCGGGAAAAGCUCAAAUUUAAAAUCUGGCGGUCUUCUGGCUGUCCGAGUUGUAAUCUAGAGAAGUGUUAUCCGCGCUGGA
rnacentral:rRNA from 1 species